GUGCCUAAUACAUGCAAGUCGAGCGGACCGGAUUGGGGCUUGCCUUGAUUCGGUCAGCGGCGGACGGGUGAGUAACACGUGGGCAACCUGCCCGCAAGACCGGGAUAACUCCGGGAAACCGGAGCUAAUACCGGAUAACACCGAAGACCGCAUGGUCUUCGGUUGAAAGGCGGCCUUUGGGCUGUCACUUGCGGAUGGGCCCGCGGCGCAUUAGCUAGUUGGUGAGGUAACGGCUCACCAAGGCGACGAUGCGUAGCCGGCCUGAGAGGGUGACCGGCCACACUGGGACUGAGACACGGCCCAGACUCCUACGGGAGGCAGCAGUAGGGAAUCUUCCGCAAUGGGCGAAAGCCUGACGGAGCGACGCCGCGUGAGCGAAGAAGGCCUUCGGGUCGUAAAGCUCUGUUGUGAGGGACGAAGGAGCGCCGUUCGAAGAGGGCGGCGCGGUGACGGUACCUCACGAGAAAGCCCCGGCUAACUACGUGCCAGCAGCCGCGGUAAUACGUAGGGGGCGAGCGUUGUCCGGAAUUAUUGGGCGUAAAGCGCGCCGCAGGCGGUCUCUUAAGUCUGAUGUGAAAGCCCACGGCUCAACCGUGGAGGGGUCAUUGGAAACUGGGG
rnacentral:rRNA from 1 species